AUUGAACGCUGGCGGCAGGCCUAACACAUGCAAGUCGAACGAGUGGCGGACGGGUGAGUAAUGUCUGGGAAACUGCCUGAUGGAGGGGGAUAACUACUGGAAACGGUAGCUAAUACCGCAUACCAUCAGAUGUGCCAAGAUGGGAUUAGCUAGUGGGUGGGGUAACGGCGCACCAAGGCGACGAUCCCUAGCUGGGCUGAGAGGAUGACCAGCCACACUGGAACUGAGAGACGGACCAGACUCCGACGGGAGGCAGAAGUGGGGAAUAUUGCGCAAUGAGCGCAAGCCUGAUGCGGCCAUGCCGCGUGUAUGAAGAAGGCCAUCGGGUUGUAAAGUACUUUCAGCGGGGAGGCGUUACCCGCAGAAGAAGCACCGGCUAACUCCGUGCCAGCAGCCGCGGUAAUUC
rnacentral:rRNA from 1 species